rnacentral:rRNA from 1 species
AAACGGAGAGUUUGAUCCUGGCUCAGGAUGAACGUUGGCGGCGUGCCUAAUACAUGCAAGUCGAACGGGAAGGUGUCCUUCGGGGCGCUGGAGAGUGGCGAACGGGUGAGUAACGCGUAACUGAUCUGCCCCAUAGACUGGGAUAACCUUUGGAAACAGAGGCUAAUACGGGAUGAUCUAGGUGGAGUUAGGUUUCUGCUUAGGAAAGGCAAUAGCGCUAUGGGAUGAGGAUGCGUUCCAUCAGCUAGUUGGUGAGGUAAGGGCUCACCAAGGCAAUGACGGAUAGGGGAUCUGAGAGGGUGGCCCCCCACACUGGGACUGAGACACGGCCCAGACUCCUACGGGAGGCAGCAGUAAGGGAUAUUGCACAAUGGGCGGAAGCCUGAUGCAGCGACGCCGCGUGGGCGAAGAAGGUUUUCGGAUCGUAAAGUCCUUUUCUAGGUGACGAGGUAGGACGGUAGCCUAGGAAUAAGUGUCGGCUAACUACGUGCCAGCAGCCGCGGUAAAACGUAGGACGCGAGCGUUAUCCGGAGUUACUGGGCGUAAAGCGCGCGCAGGCGGUGUCAUAAGUUACCCAUGAAAGCCUUUGGCUAAACUGGAGGAAGUUGGGUGAAACUGUGGUACUAGAGAGAAAUAGAGGGAAGCGGAAUUCCGGGUGUAGUGGUGAAAUGCGUAGAUAUCCGGAGGAAUACCGGUGGCGAAGGCGGCUUCCUGGAUUUCCACUGACGCUGA